GUGUUACUCUGGUAGCACAUAUACUAAAAUUGGAAUGAUACAGAGAAGAUUAGCAUGGCCCCUGCACAAGGAUGAUGCGCAAAUUCGUGAAGUGUUCGUCAUUUUC
rnacentral:snRNA from 1 species